AGGUUGAUUGUUCUCCUACCUCUAUGUCGAUGAUAACUAGCUGUAAUUGUCCUUGAAGUUACAUCGGCCUUUUCGAUUUGGGAAUUGUCUUUUUUGGUCGGCGAAUGUAAUGUGACCAGAAAUCCUGGCAUGACGGAUUUAGAUAUUUGUAAAUUUAACCUUCGAAGUCCUUAAUUCUUCAACAUAACCACGGAUAAAUAUCAGGAUGCGUGGUGCUCAUUUUCUACACGUAAUCUCUUCUUGAAGGUUCCGGUGAUCUGCUCAGUCUCCAACUAGAAAGAUUUGGAAGUUGUGAGAAAGUAGGCAGUAGCAUGCACAAGCACACAAUGCAUGUGACAAGCAGCUUGGAAGAACACGGAAUCGAAGUAUCUUUACAAAUCCAGGAUGGUCUUAAUGUGGCUAUCGGAAGUUUGAAGCACUUGUUCUCGACAUGCAUGACAUUCAGAAAUAGAGAGGCAAAGUACUUGUGUACCUUGUGCACUUGAAACUUCCGGUGACAAUAUAUUCACCAAAGGUAAAGGGUGGAAAGAAAUGGCAAUGGCCAUCUGAGCUAGAUGGCUACAAGACCCAGCAAUAGCAAUGAUUUGUAAACUGAAGGUUAUCAAAUGGACUUCUACUACCAGCUAAGGUUUUUUGGACCAUUUUGAAUAACGAUUAACGAUGUGUCUAAUUACGUUUCCCCUGGAAGCUUUGUGUCCUCUGGUAAAUCUCGGAAAGCAACACCCUGAAAAGAGCAGGGCCGUUAGUAAUUGAUGCGGCAGAAUCAGCACAAGGAAGCAAUGAUGGGGUAAUACAUAUACCUCUCCUGUGAGGUGAGCUACACAUCUCUUCUCAGGUAGCAAUUCAGCUUCAGUCUGCAAAAUGACAGCUUUGCAUAAGAAAAAUGGUCCUUGUGUCUAGAUUCUAGGUGACCACGAAGGGUCUGAAUAUACAUUUCUAGAAACAAUCAAAUCAUAGGAAACCAUCUUCUUGUCUUCAGAAGUUGAUGUCUAUAAUCACAGAAACAUUAAUGAACUUGUAAUAAGAGAUUAUAUGAGAACUAGUUGCACCAACUAGACAACUUAUUUAACAUACUAAUCUCUAUAAUCCAUAUGAUUAAACAUGAUCAAGAUAAACAGAC
rnacentral:lncRNA from 1 species